rnacentral:rRNA from 1 species
CCUACGGGAGGCUGCAGUGGGGAAUAUUGGACAAUGGGGGCAACCCUGAUCCAGCCAUGCCGCGUGUGUGAAGAAGGCCCUCGGGUUGUAAAGCACUUUCAGUGAGGAAGAACGCCUGGUGGUUAAUACCCAUCAGGAAAGACAUCACUCACAGAAGAAGCACCGGCUAACUCCGUGCCAGCAGCCGCGGUAAUACGGAGGGUGCGAGCGUUAAUCGGAAUUACUGGGCGUAAAGCGCGCGUAGGUGGCUUGAUAAGCCGGUUGUGAAAGCCCCGGGCUCAACCUGGGAACGGCAUCCGGAACUGUCAAGCUAGAGUGCAGGAGAGGAAGGUAGAAUUCCCGGUGUAGCGGUGAAAUGCGUAGAGAUCGGGAGGAAUACCAGUGGCGAAGGCGGUCUUCUGGACUGACACUGACACUGAGGUGCGAAAGCGUGGGUAGCAAACAGGAUUAGAUACCCUAGUAGUC